rnacentral:rRNA from 1 species
GAUGAACGCUGGCGGCGUGCCUAAUACAUGCAAGUCGAGCGAACAGACGAGGAGCUUGCUCCUCUGACGUUAGCGGCGGACGGGUGAGUAACACGUGGAUAACCUACCUAUAAGACUGGGAUAACUUCGGGAAACCGGAGCUAAUACCGGAUAAUAUAUUGAACCGCAUGGUUCAAUAGUGAAAGACGGUUUUGCUGGCACUUAUAGAGGGAUCCGCGCCGCAUUAGCUAGUUGGUAAGGUAACGGCUUACCAAGGCAACGAUGCGUAGCCGACCUGAGAGGGUGAUCGGCCACACUGGAACUGAGACACGGUCCAGACUCCUACGGGAGGCAGCAGUAGGGAAUCUUCCGCAAUGGGCGAAAGCUUGACGGAGCAACGCCGCGUGAGUGAUGAAGGUCUUCGGAUCGUAAAACUCUGUUAUUAGGGAAGAACAAAUGUGUAAGUAACUAUGCACGUCUUGACGGUACCUAAUCAGAAAGCCACGGCUAACUACGUG